UUGAAAGGGAAACGAUUGAAGUCAGUCGUACCAGCGGAAAUCAACCUUUCNAGUGGGGGUUUUGGAGUUUUGAAGAGUGUUAAAACCUUUGAGAUUUCAANUANNNNCGCNCUUUUGGUGUACUUUNUCGUGGGUUANNUUAACAUCGAUUUUGAUCAUCAUAAAAAGAUUGGAGGAAUGUAGCUUCGAUCUCGUAUUGAAGUGUUAUAGCCUUUGGUAUAUGUGAUGAUUAGGAUCGAGGAUUGCAACGAAUACCCUUUUGGGCUAUCUGUCUGAUCUCUGAUACGUGGCCUUGGUAUUGAAAGCGUGCUUAUGAUAUUAAGGUAUUACGGUCAAAAGGUAGAACGUGAUUACAUUCGUUAAGGAUGUUGACGUA
rnacentral:rRNA from 1 species